rnacentral:lncRNA from 13 species
CUUAGGCCUAUAAUCUCAGCACUUUGGGAGGCCGAGGCGGUGGAUUACUAGAUCAAGAAAUAGAGAACAUCCUGUUCAACAAGGUCUGCAGUGGGACCUGAGACUUCGCAUUUCUAAUAAGCUCUGGUUGAUGCAGAUGCUGUUGGCCUGGGGACCACACUUUGAGGAGCAGGGCUUUAAAGAUGUGAUUUCUUUGAAUAGGCUCGCCUCUGGACAAAACCUACAGUGUUAACUAUGUGGUCCAAUUGUGAACAACAGAAGACUUCAAACCACCAGAUGUACUAACUUCAGAU